GCGCUGGGACCGCCGACCGUUCCGCUCUUGCGGCAACUCUCCCCGCCGUCCUGGUGGGGAGGCGAUGAGGACACCAGGUAACAGGAGGAGUAUCUCACUGACCACGCAGAAGGAACCUCCAUAGGCUAGCAAAGCCACCUUUGAAAGGCCUAAGGUGACCAAUACUUCUUGGCUGCUUCUCAACAAUGGAACUGUCUCAUCUCCAGGAGUUACAAGGCAGACAAGAAGAGAAGAUGGAACUCUAGAGGAAGGAUAAAGACCAAAGUAUGAAGAAAAUUGACAACUACAUAGAGUUUCUGGAGUUGACAUUCAAGGUAAGGGUAUGAUGAGAGUCAAAGCUGGAGGUUCACCAAGGGGAUGGUCAUGGAGAGCCCUGUGUAUAAGACUAAGGAGUAUAGAUUUGUCCCAAAGGUCAUGGGGAACAAUGAGGGACAUUUAGCAGAAUUAUACCCAAUUACAUUUACCACAAUGACUUCUCAUCCUCUUACUUGACCUUUAGACCAUAACUGGUUACUCUCUUUCCCUUCCUUAGAAAAUUACACAGUGGUUCCACUACCAUCAUCGCUACCACUACCACCACCACCACCACAACCCACCACUCAUCCAGGUUCUUUGGAUUCCAGCCU